rnacentral:rRNA from 1 species
AACGAACGCUGGCGGCAUGCCUAACACAUGCAAGUCGAACGAGACCUUCGGGUCUAGUGGCGCACGGGUGCGUAACGCGUGGGAAUCUGCCCUUGGGUUCGGAAUAACUCGCCGAAAGGCGUGCUAAUACCGGAUGAUGUCGUAAGACCAAAGAUUUAUCGCCCAGGGAUGAGCCCGCGUAAGAUUAGGUAGUUGGUGAGGUAAAGGCUCACCUAGGCGACGAUCAGUAGCCGGACUGAGAGGUUGACCGGCCACAUUGGGACUGAGACACGGCCCAG